UUGAAUUGAAGAGUUUGAUCAUGGCUCAGAUUGAACGCUGGCGGCAGGCUUAACACAUGCAAGUCGGACGGUAGCAGGUAAGUACUUGUACUUAUGCUGACGAGUGGCGGACGGGUGAGUAAUGCUUGGGAAUCUGUCUUAUGGAGGGGGAUAACGACGGGAAACUGUCGCUAAUACCGCGUAGAAUCGGGAGAUGAAAGUGUGGGACCUUCGGGCCACAUGCCAUAGGAUGAGCCCAAGUGUGAUUAGGUAGUUGGUGGGGUAAAGGCCUACCAAGCCGACGAUCGCUAGCUGGUCUGAGAGGAUGGCCAGCCACACCGGGACUGAGACACGGCCCGGACUCCUACGGGAGGCAGCAGUGGGGAAUAUUGCGCAAUGGGGGCAACCCUGACGCAGCCAUGCCGCGUGAAUGAAGAAGGCCUUCGGGUUGUAAAGUUCUUUCGGUGAUGAGGAAGGUUGGUGUGUUAAUAGCAUGCCAAAUUGACGUUAAAUACAGAAGAAGCACCGGCUAACUCCGUGCCAGCAGCCGCGGUAAUACGGGGGGUGCGAGCGUUAAUCGGAAUAACUGGGCGUAAAGGGCACGUAGGCGGACCUUUAAGUGAGGUGUG
rnacentral:rRNA from 1 species